UACGUAGGUGACCAGCGUUGUCCGGAUUUACUGGGCGUAAAGAGCGCGCAGGCGGUCGUUCAAGUCGAGUGUGAAAGCCCCCGGCUCAACUGGGGAGGGUCAUUCGAUACUGAUCGACUGGAAGGCAGGAGAGGGAAGCGGAAUUCCCGGUGUAGUGGUGAAAUGCGUAGAUAUCGGGAGGAACACCAGUGGCGAAGGCGGCUUCCUGGCCUGUUCUUGACGCUGAAGCGCGAAAGCCAGGGGAGCAAACGGG
rnacentral:rRNA from 1 species